CAACUAGCCCAACAAGCGGGCGUCCCGAUGCCGACAUAUGGGAUGCCGCCUCCGGACUUUGCACUGCCAAUGCCAAUGUUGGCGCCUCCACCACCGCCUCCGCCUCCGUCACAAUUCCCUAUGGUAUGUUGAGAGCACCUAGAGGGGGGGGUGAAUAGGUGAUCCUGUAAAAGUCCCUACUACUAUUAAGAAGCUAAGGUGGGCGCAGGGCGACACCACGGCUCCGCCUCCACCGUGCACCCUGCCAUCGCAAGCCUGCCACCACCACCCGCCUCACACGCGCGACCCGCCUGUCCCCACCACCUCCCCGACCCAAGCCCCAUCCACCGCACGCCUGCCCCCGCGCCUCCCCCGUCCUGCCCCCACCGCCGCACAAUCCGCCAUGCCUCAGCCUCGCAAUAUCCUCCAUGCCAGCGUCUCUGCUUCUCCUCCGUGCAACCGCCUGACCCGCCGCCUUCCCCUCCGCAAAACAGCCAUGCCCCCGCCUCGGCUAACCCUACGCGCAGAUCCGCAGCCGCCUGACCCGCCAGGACCCCGCCUCUCCUUCCCCUUCGCGCUCAAACAACCAAGCCGAGGUCCGCGCAGCCACACGAACUGCCAUGACCUCGCACGAUCCGUCAUGCCCCCGCCUCGCACAAUCCAUCGUGCCUUCCCCUCCGUGCAACCGCCCGACCCGCCAGGAACCCGCCUCUCCUUCCCCUCCGCGCUCAAGCCGAGGAAAUGCACCCACAAAUUUGGAAGCCGCGGCAAUGGCGCCCGAUUUGGCUAUGGCGUGCAUGAUCUCCAUCGGCUGAUUUGGAAACCGCGCAAUCUACGUCGGCGAUUUGGAAACCACGAUCUCGGUACCGCAAUCACAACAAUUGUCCCCCAAAUAUCGCGACCACCGACGUCCAGCUGACUUAGGAACGACCAAGCAGGAGCCUACUCCUCAUUUGCCCCUGUUCAGAGGUAAAGACAAUUACUUCCCUCUACAAUCCAAGUAUAUAGAGAGAUCGACGUCAAAAGGAACCUCGGGCUUUGUAUUCAAGUCGGCGAGAUUUCCUUAUGUGAAAACGAAGAACCAACAGAAACGAAUCUAAUGGGGCAUAAUGCUGGUCGCACACCAUUAAUAGACAUCUCAAACACAAGCGUUACAGGUGAUCAAAUAGGAUCAAACUCGCUUGGACCAAUAGACGAUGCUAAUGAACGUAAGAGGCAAAGGGAUAGAGAAAGAUAUGCCACGAUGUCCAUUGAACAAAAGAAUGAGAAAAAUAGGAAGCAUCGUGAAGCACGUCAACGAAAUACAGGACUACCCCUAAAGUCUGAGUCAUCUAGAGGUUCGUAUUUAACUGUAGCACCAUUGAUCUCACAAAUUUUGCCUUUUGUACCACCGUUUAUUUGGCUAAUGCUAGGAUGAUUAUGGUAGGUCCUAUUAAAAACACUCCAUUGGCUGGUAAUUCUAUCGAACGAAAGAGGCAAAGGGAUAGAGAAAGGCGUGCAACAAUGUCGGUUGAACAAAGGAAUGAGUACAAUAACAAGCGUCGUCAAAUGCGACGACGAAAUAAGGGACAAAAUGUGAUGCCCGAUGUUUCAGGAGGUGAUGAAACCCAUCAAAUUUAA